GAAAUGCGAUAAGUAAUGUGAAUUGCAGAAUUCAGUGAAUCAUCGAAUCUUUGAACGCACCUUGCGCUCCUUGGUAUUCCUUGGAGCAUGCCUGUUUGAGUAUCAUGAAAUCUUCAAAGUAAAUCUUUUGUUAACUCAAUUGGUUUCUACUGUGGUAUUGGAGGUCUUUGCAGCUUCACACCUGCUCCUCUUUGUUCAUUAGCUGGAUCUCAGUGUUAUGCUUGGUUCCACUCGGCGUGAUAAGUUAUCUAUCGCUGAGGACACUGUAAAAGGUGGCCAAGGUAAAUGCAGAUGAACCGCUUCUAAUAGUCCAUUGACUUGGACAAUACUUUUAUGAUCUGAUCUCAAAUCAGGUAGGACUACCCGCUGAACUUAAGC
rnacentral:misc_RNA from 1 species